rnacentral:rRNA from 1 species
UUACUGGAAACCGGAGCUAAUACCGGAUAACAUAUUGAACCGCAUGGUUCAAUAGUGAAAGGCGGCUUUGCUGUCACUUAUAGAUGGAUCCGCGCCGUAUUAGCUAGUUGGUAAGGUAACGGCUUACCAAGGCAACGAUACGUAGCCGACCUGAGAGGGUGAUCGGCCACACUGGAACUGAGACACGGUCCAG